CGUAGAUGGCGAGAGGGUCAUCGUCCCUGACGGUGGCCUGGAUGGUGGAGGUGGUGACCGUGGUGUCGAGCGUGACGGUGUCUGCCUCGGUCUGCGCUUCGUAGGUGUAGUCCUUCUUGGCAACGCUGGUGCUGGCGAGCGUGGUCACCUUGCCUUUAUUGGACUUGAGGAACUGCAUGGAGUAGUAGUCCGGCACGGCGUGGUAGAGCAGGAUGGCCGUCUUGGCCUUGGCCGUCAGGUUCUUGAACUUUGGCAUGAAGGCGGCCACGGCGGCGUCGACAGGGCAGAAGAGCGUGAGCGCAGUGUCCUUGGUUCCGUUGAUGGUAUCGAAGGCUUUGGCAUCGGCAGCUAGGAGGCCGGCGAAGCUCUUGCAGUACUUUUUGGAGAGGAGUUCGGUGAGGUUGACCGGAGCCGGCGGGGCCACGGGCGCCUCGGCCUCCGGGGAGGACAGCACACUGCUGACCUGGAGCACCGAGUAAUCGUAGCGGUGGCUCUCGAUCUGCUUGACGAAGGUGACGGGCUUCACGGAGUCAGCAGCGUCAUCGACGAUGAACGUCACCUUGCCGCCGCGGUGCUGCGUUAUGUUGACGUACCCUGCCAUGCCGGGGGCAAACCCGGAUCGCUGCACAUUGAUGAAGAGCAUCAUCGGUUAGUACUGGUCACUACUCCCUCCGUCCUAAAUUAUAGAUCGUUUUGACUUUUUUAAAUAUAUAAAUAUUAUUAUACAUAAGAUAUAUCUAAGUACAUAAUAAAGUAUAUAAAUCUAAAAAAAGUCAAAACAACCUCUAAUGUAGAACGGAGGGAGUAAUAGCUUUUCACUUCAAUUGCAAACUUGUAUGGAAUGGAGAACGAUUGAAUAUUGCAGGGUCCAAUUCAGCUGACCUACUUCAUGCCAUAUACUCAAGGAUUAUCAUUCAAUGCAAACAUUCUGCUCACUUUUGUUUGUGCGGCUUGCCAGCUACUAACUGAAACCGCACAGUACAUUUCCCCCCAAUUUAGAUACGUACAAAGUUCUAUAAAACACAUCAUGAAUGGUUCGUUGACUAUGUGUUGACUCUCCAUUGUAUCCAAGUUCUAAAAGAAGUUGCAUUAACAAUCCUACACAUGUUUGUUUAGAUCUUGCCUUGGGAAUUUCAGCUGGCCCGACAAUCCAGGGAUUCGAGUGUGAAAAAUAAUGUGGCUGGAGAAGCCGCUAAUUUAUUGUUUCAGCAACCUUGUGAGAAGAUAGGCCAACAUGUGCAUGUGCGUGGGCAUCACUUCAAAAGCGAUUGUAUACAAAAUUGGAACUAGUCAGUAAAUGGAUUUGGAGCAUUAGUUAGGUUCCACAAGGAUAUAUCUAUGAGAUUUGAGUCUUUUUUUUUAUUCGGCAAAAGAAGCUCUUUUCUUCAAAAUAAUUACUCUUCCUCCUUAUCCCAAAAUAAGCCCAUUAGAAUAUUGACACGGUUUAUAAGAGGCCGGCACUAUCUAAAAAAACAUAUUAUCUUAAAUGAAAAAAAGCUAUAUAUGUUGUAUCAAAUUUUAUUUCGUAAUGAACCUAAUAUCUCUAAUAUUAUGUUGUCAAUCUAUAUAAAAUUACAGAUAUUUAAAGUUAAAAAAGUUUUACUUCGGGCAAACAUUGAUGAACGAGAAAAAUAGCAUUAUUGCGAUCCAAAUUUAUUUAGUGCCUAACUGUUCUAACCGAAGCCCAUUAAAUUUGGCGGCAGAAUUAUUCUCUAUGAGCCUAUGAUAAAGCAACCCAGGCAGGGCAAGGCACUUUCGGCAGAGAGAGAGAAAAAAGGGUCAAAAUUUUAAAGCCAAAAACAGUAAAAUAGCCUCUGAAGUUACUCAAUAAAAUAGCCUCUGAAGUUACUCAAUGAGAUGGAAAUGAUUACAAAAUGCCUUGGGUUGGGAAAAAAAUUUCUGUCAGUCAUCUUUAUCUUUUCAAGAAUAGCUGAUGCAAAACAGUUGAAGGAAUGUAAAGCUUCAAACGGUCUAGUGAGCUGCAGAUCUAACAACAAAUUAACUGAAAGCAAGAGUGAAGACACUCGCAGCUGUUGCUUACCUGGAAAAGGGUCGAUGCAGCGGUGGCGCCGUGCGACAGCUGCUUGAGCUUCUUCUCGUCGUAGUAGUCGGCGACGACGUGCAGCUCGAGGAUGUGGCGGAUGGUCCCGAGCGAGUAGUGGGCGCUGGUGAGGUGGCCCAUGUCGCCGUUGGCGACGGCGAGCACGGUGAUGGUGCGGUCCCGGUUGAUGUCGCCGGCGAGGUGCGUCUCGUUGAGCAGCUUG
rnacentral:lncRNA from 1 species